rnacentral:rRNA from 1 species
UACGGGGGGAGCAAGCGUUGUUCGGAUUUACUGGGCGUAAAGGGCGCGUAGGCGGCCACCGCAAGUCGACUGUGAAAUCUCCGGGCUUAACCCGGAAAGGUCAGCCGAUACUGCGGUGCUAGAGUGCAGAAGGGGCAACUGGAAUUCUCGGUGUAGCGGUGAAAUGCGUAGAUAUCGAGAGGAACACCUGCGGCGAAGGCGGGUUGCUGGGCUGACACUGACGCUGAGGCGCGAAAGCUAGGGGAGCGAACGGG